GGAAGAAGCGAAAGUGACGGUACCUGCAGAAGAAGAAAACGGCUAACUACGUGCCAGCAGCCGCGGUAAUACGUAGGGUGCGAGCGUUGUCCGGAAUUAUUGGGCGUAAAGAGCUUGUAGGCGGUUUGUCGCGUCUGCUGUGAAAAUCCGGGGCUCAACCCCGGACUUGCAGUGGGUACGGGCAGACUAGAGUGUGGUAGGGGAGACUGGAAUUCCUGGUGUAGCGGUGAAAUGCGCAGAUAUCAGGAGGAACACCGAUGGCGAAGGCAGGUCUCUGGGCCACUACUGACGCUGAGAAGCGAAAGCAUGGGGAGCGAACAGGUUUAUUUACCCUGGUAGUCCAUGCCGUAAACGUUGGGCGCUAGGUGUGGGACUCAUUCCACGAGUUCCGUGCCGCAGCUAACGCAUUAAGCGCCCCGCCUGGGGA
rnacentral:rRNA from 1 species